UACGUAGGGUGCGAGCGUUGUCCGGAUUUACUGGGCGUAAAGAGCUCGUAGGUGGUUUGUCGCGUUGUCCGUGAAAACUCACAGCUCAACUGUGGGCGUGCGGGCGAUACGGGCAGACUGGAGUACUGCAGGGGAGACUGGAAUUCCUGGUGUAGCGGUGGAAUGCGCAGAUAUCAGGAGGAACACCGGUGGCGAAGGCGGCAUUCUGGACAGUAACUGACGCUGAGGCGCGAAAGCGAGGGGAGCAAACAGG
rnacentral:rRNA from 1 species